GGUCCGAGUUGUAAUUUGUAGAGGAUGCUUUUGGUGCGGUACCUUCCGAGUUCCCUGGAACGGGACGCCAUAGAGGGUGAGAGCCCCGUCUGGUUGGACGCCAAUCCUUUGUAAAGCUCCUUCAACGAGUCGAGUAGUUUGGGAAUGCUGCUCUAAAUGGGAGGUAUAUGUCUUCUAAAGCUAAAUAUUGGCCAGAGACCGAUAGCGCACAAGUAGAGUGAUCGAAAGAUGAAAAGCACUUUGAAAAGAGAGUUAAAAAGUACGUGAAAUUGUUGAAAGGGAAGCGCUCAUGACCAGACUUGGGCUUGGUUGAUCAUCCAGGGUUCUCCCUGGUGCACUCUUCCAGCCCAGGCCAGCAUCAGUUCGCUGUGGGGGAUAAAGGCUUCGGGAAUGUGGCUCCCUCGGGAGUGUUAUAGCCCGUUGUGUAAUACCCUGUGGUGGACUGAGGUUCGCGCAUUCGCAAGGAUGCUGGCGUAAUGGUCAUCAGCGACCCGUCUUGAAACACGGACCAAGGAGUCGUCUUCGUAUGCGAGUGUUCGGGUGUCAAACCCCUACGCGUAAUGAAAGUGAACGCAGGUGAGAGCUUCGGCGCAUCAUCGACCGAUCCUGAUGUUCUCGGAUGGAUUUGAGUAAGAGCAUACGGGGCCGGACCCGAAAGAAGGUGAACUAUGCCUGUAUAGGGUGAAGCCAGAGGAAACUCUGG
rnacentral:rRNA from 1 species